rnacentral:rRNA from 1 species
AACGGGGAAUCAGGGUUCGAUUCCGGAGAGGGAGCCCGAGAAACGGCUACCACUUCCAAGGAAGGCAGCAGGCGCGCAACUUACCCUAAUCUCGAUUCGAGGAGGUAGUGACAAGAAAUACCGAUGCGGGACCCUACGGGUGCCGCGUUCGGAAUGAGUACGAUUCGAACCACCUAACGAGGAACGAUCGGAGGGCAAGUCUGGUGCCAGCAGCCGCGGUAAUUCCAGCUCCAAUAGCGUACGUUAAAGUUGCUGCAGUUAAAAAGCUCGUAGUUGAACGUUCGGGUUCCGCGGGACGGGGCCGCCCCGCGAGGGACGGCGCCGCCCCGGGCGUCGUGAUAUCUCAUCUCGCCGCCCGUCGCGAGGCGGACGGAGGGAUGGAUGAGGUUACCUGGAAAAAAUCGGGGCGAUCUAGGCGGGCGAACCUCGCCAACGAACGAUCGGACAUGGG